rnacentral:rRNA from 1 species
AUUGAACGCUGGCGGCAUGCCUUACACAUGCAAGUCGAACGGCAGCACGGGUGCUUGCCCCUGGUGGCGAGUGGCGAACGGGUGAGUAAUACAUCGGAACAUGUCCUGUAGUGGGGGAUAGCCCGGCGAAAGCCGGAUUAAUACCGCAUACGAUCUACGGAUGAAAGCGGGGGACCUUCGGGCCUCGCGCUAUAGGGUUGGCCGAUGGCUGAUUAGCUAGUUGGUGGGGUAAAGGCCUACCAAGGCGACGAUCAGUAGCUGGUCUGAGAGGGCGACCAGCCACACUGGGACUGAGACACGGCCCAGACUCCUACGGGAGGCAGCAGUGGGGAAUUUUGGACAAUGGGCGAAAGCCUGAUCCAGCAAUGCCGCGUGUGUGAAGAAGGCCUUCGGGUUGUAAAGCACUUUUGUCCGGAAAGAAAUCCUUGGCUCUAAUACAGUCGGGGGAUGACGGUACCGGAAGAAUAAGCACCGGCUAACUACGUG